rnacentral:misc_RNA from 1 species
AACGCACCUUGCGCUCCUUGGUAUUCCGAGGAGCAUGCCUGUUCGAGCGUCAUCGAAACCUCGAACCGAAGCUUCGACCCGGUCGAGGCUCGGUUUCGGAAUUUGGGAGGCUGCCGGCGAAGGUCGGCUCUCCUCAAAAGCAUUAGCCGUGGGCGCGAGCCUUGCAUGGAACGGCCUCCUCGACGUCAUAACGAUCGUCGUGGGCUGGAAGUGCAGGGAUCGAAGCGUGCCAUGCUUUCCAAAUCUGCGAGCCCGUCCCGCCGUCGUGCGGGUCGGCCGCGUGCGAUGAACGUUUGACCUCGGAUCAGGUAGGACUACCCGCCGAACUUAA